AAGUCGUAACAAGGUCUCCGUUGGUGAACCAGCGGAGGGAUCAUUACUAAAGUAUCCAUCCUACGUUUUGUGAACUGUUUUGUCUCUGGCGGUGGGAUGGCUCAAAACCAUCUGUCAGCAUCCGAGGUAACCUCGGUGUGCCGUGGACAAGCCGCCAACGGUGUAUGUUUCAUACAAACUUUUUGUUUCAUUAAAACUGUCUGACCUACCUUUGUAUGUAAAUAAUACAAAAACAACUUUUGGCAACGGAUCUCUUGGCUCCC
rnacentral:misc_RNA from 1 species